rnacentral:rRNA from 1 species
AGGACGAACGCUGGCGGCGUGCCUAACACAUGCAAGUCGAACGCGCUCCAUUCGGUAGCAAUACUGAUGAAGAGCGAGUGGCGAACGGGUGAGUAGCACGUGAGCAACCUGCCCCGAAGACCGGGACAACACCGGGAAACCGGUGCUAAUACCGGAUAUCCCUAUCGGACCGCAUGAUCUGAUAAGGAAAUGGAUUCCGCUUCGGGAGGGGCUCGCGGCCUAUCAGCUAGUUGGUGAGGUAACGGCCCACCAAGGCAUCGACGGGUAGCUGGUCUGAGAGGACGAUCAGCCACACUGGGACUGAGACACGGCCCAGACUCCUACGGGAGGCAGCAGUGGGGAAUCUUGCGCAAUGGGCGAAAGCCUGACGCAGCAACGCCGCGUGGAGGACGAAGGUUCUUCUGAGUUGUAAACUCCUUUCAGCAGGGACGAUAGUGACGGUACCUGCAGAAGAGCACCGGCCAACUACGCGCCAGCAGCCG